rnacentral:rRNA from 1 species
UACGGAGGGGGCUAGCGUUGUUCGGAAUUACUGGGCGUAAAGCGCGCGUAGGCGGACCUGCAAGUCGGGUGUGAAAUCCCCAGGCUUAACCUGGGAACUGCAUUCGAGACUGCAUUGCUAGAGUAUGGGAGAGGGAAGUGGAAUUUCCGGUGUAGCGGUGAAAUGCGUAGAUAUCGGAAGGAACAUCAGUGGCGAAAGCGACUUCCUUGGACCAAUACUGACGCUCAUGUGCGAAAGCGUGGGGAGCAAACAGG